UUUCUGUGAUGAUAACUUUGUCCAGUUCUGCUACUGAGUGUAAGUGAUGCAGUUUGCGACUCUGAGAAA